GGACUGGCGCAGCCUGGAGGGAGGCAUCAGGCAGUGGCGGAAAAGGGGCGGAGAACCGGAGAAAAGGGCGGAGAACCGGAGAAAAGGGCGGAGAACCGGAGAAAAGGGCGGAGAACCGGGAAAAGGGCGGAGAACCGGGAAAAGGUCAAGACCUGUACGUACCUCUCGCGCAGGCUCGGGUUGCGUUCUGGUAGGACGUACGUGUUUCUGAGCGCUUGGUGGAAAGAUUUAAAUGGGGGGAAGAGAAGAUGAAAAGCAGGAAAGAGUUGGCAAAUACUAACCAACCGAUAAAGGAAGAGAAAGGAGGACUGUACAUAACAGAAAUUAUCAUCAGCUGGUGAGGAAAGUGGACUCUACCAUAUUUAAUCCCCAAGUCGACGGGCACUUAUUCAAGGCCCGGAUGUUUAAUCGUUUUUAAUUUUCUCUACAACUUGUGAGAUAAAUCUUAACAUUCUCAUUUGGCUCAGACAUUAAAUUCGGAACUGGUUAGCUCUCUUAACUCCAAAGCCUAAUUAUGUUCUUCUUUCCUCAGCAGACAUCGUAGUUUCAAACAAUUUAGGGAUGUCCUGACAGCUUUAUCCUAAUGGUUAUCCUAAUGGUCCUUGGUGACUUUUUAAACACCCUCUUGGAACAUGUUGGAGGAUGUGCAGAUCGAACAAAAAUCUUGAAACGUGGUCAUCCAACUGCAUUAUUAAGUAAUCUUUAGCGGGGAAUAGCCCUUGAAACUAGCUCCAGAUAUUUCUG
rnacentral:lncRNA from 1 species